CUUUUAGGUAGAGAAAUAUAAAUAGAAUUCUCAAAGGAAAAUCUCCAAUCCAUCGAGAGAUUUCUCAAUUGAAGUCGGCUCUUCUAUUUCCUUCCAGGGUCUUCCCCAUCUCCUUCAAUCGACUAAAAAUUGGACGAAGCAGACGCAUCAAGAUACUGUGUCCUGUGUGUUUGCAGAUGGCGAAUCUAAAAAUCCUGUGGUGGAUUCAUAGAAGAAAUGGCAUUUGCCGAUGCCCCAGGAAAUGAUGAUUUUGGACAUGGAGGGUCUGAUUCUGACCAUACCCUCUCCCUCUGGGGCUCCAAUCCUGCUUGGUAUGAUAAGUAAUCCUCGUCAAUGCCAUCGCAGUAGAUUCAUUUCAGACGCAUGGAGUUUUAGGAUGAUGACUAUGAAGAUGGCAACGAUAAUAAUAACGGUCAACUUGAGGGGAUAUGGAGCUGGAUCCUGAAUUAGAUUCCCUAACAAGGAGGAGAAGCUCAGCUGCUGUUAUCCAGCUCCUCGAUGGCAUUUUAAAUAGAAUGGUAUCCGAGUUGGGAAAUUCUGAGAGGGAUCAAAGAGACACAUAUAGAAAUGAUAUUAGGGAUGGAUAGGGUGUGAUUUUGAUUAAUCCAUUUAACCAAACUAUUGUUGUUCGAGGUUAUCAUGAUUCCAAUAACGAUUCUGUGAAUCGUGCACCUAUUGGCUUCUAGGUGAUUAUUACAUAGGUCCUGGUUUAGAAUUAUUGCUACAGCAUUUGGCAGAGAAUGAUGAUAUUUACUCGAGUUUAACUUUUUCAGCUAAUGUAGCCUUCUACCUUGUUUUUUGGGAAUAUAGAGCAAAAGAAGUUGAGUCAAACCUUGUUUAGAGAUUCUUCGAGAGUUAUACAUUCAAUUUUUGUUUGCUACUGGACAUUAUUUCACAGACAUGGAAAAUAUAAUUUAUUA